UUUGAGGUGGUUCUUUUGGAAUCACGAGAUAGAGUUGGUGGUCGAGUAUACACUAAUUUCUCGUUCGGUUUUCCAGUUGACAUGGGUGCAUCGUGGUUACAUGGCGUCUGCAAAGAAAAUCCUUUGGCACCCUUGAUAGGAAGAUUGGGUCUUCCACUCUACCGCACCAGCGGUGACGAUUCAGUGUUGUUUGACCAUGAUUUGGAGAGCUACGCACUCUUCGAUACAGAUGGUCAUCAAGUCCCACAAGAACUCGUCCAAAAGAUUGGGGUGGUGUUUGAAGAUAUAUUAAAGG
rnacentral:misc_RNA from 1 species